rnacentral:lncRNA from 1 species
ACGCAUACGCCAACAACCCAAGAUAGGGUGAGGCGCUUCUGCCUUCCAUAGCACCUCUGAGAUUGCACAUGGUCAUCAAAGCCAUCACAAUCUAGAUUCCAUUUAUGGCGUCUAAUUCUUCCACCUCCAAUCCCCUCUCCGGCGUUCAGGUCUCGGAGAAGCUCAUCAGGCAGAAUCAUGCCAUGUGGGCAGCGCUGAUCCUCGCUGCCAUACGUGGUGCGAGGCUUGAAGGGCACAUCAACGGGAAGUACAUCGCCCCUGCAGCCGAGGUGGACGAGAAGCAAGACGACAAGACAGUGCAAGUCACCAAUCUAGC